AACGUAGGAAGCGAGCGUUAUCCGGAUUUACUGGGCGUAAAGCGCAUGCAGGCGGUUUGGAAAGUUGGAUGUGAAAGCUCCUGGCUUAACUGGGAGAGGUCGUUCAAUACUUCCAGACUAGAGGAUGUGAGAGGAAAGUGGAAUUCCGAGUGUAGUGGUGAAAUGCGUAGAUAUUCGGAGGAACACCAGUGGCGAAAGCGGCUUUCUGGCACAUAUCUGACGCUCAUAUGCGAAAGCUAGGGUAGCAAAC
rnacentral:rRNA from 1 species